GAAAGGGCAAGGGCUCCCUGAGCAUGUGCAAAGUGGCCCAAAGCAACCAUAAAAGCCAGCCAGCCCUCCAAUCCCAUCCCGCCCAGGGGAACAAGAAGGGCAAGGGGCCUCUGAGCAUGUGCAAAGUGGCCCCCAAAGCAAGCAUGAAGCCCACCCACCCACCUAGGGGAACAAGAAGGGCAAGAGACUUCUGAGUAUGUUCAAAGUGGGCCCAAAGCAACCAAAAGAAGGGGAACAAGAAGGGCAAGGGACUAUGAGCCUCUGAGCAUGUGCAAAGUGGACCCCAAAGCAACAAAUAGAGGGGGAAUAAGAAGGGCAAGGGACUUCUGAGCAUGUGCAAAGUGGGCCCAAAGCAGCCAAUAGCCUACUCAAGGGGCCUCUGAGCAUGUGCAAAGUGGCCCCAGAGCAACCCAAAGAAGGGGAACAAGAAGGGCAAGGGAGUCUGAGCAUGUGCCCUGCCUCUGGCUGCACUACCUUUGAACUCAUGCAGACCAAUCUUAAAAAUGACACCAUAAUAUUAUAUAUUAUUUAAUAUGUAUUUAUGGGGACGAUCAUCCAUGGAGUCUUGGACCCCAAACCCAGCGGAUACGGAGGGGAAAAUGUGGAUCUAUUUUGCAUCUACCUGCUGAAGUGUCCAGCUCAGACCAAGGCAAACGGACCAAGGAGAGCAAGUUGAUCCCUCUAAUCCCUGUACCUCUGUCCUUAAUCCCUUUCAGAGGAAAGAUCUCGGGCUAUAAAUGGCCAUUUUUCUUCCUCCAAGGAGCCUACAAACCAUCAUCCAGGAAGGGAACUCAUGAUGUGAGACGCUAUAGACUGUCACAUCAAUUCUAAUGUAGACUAUUACGUGGAUGGGGUUGGACUAGAUGACCGCUGGGGCUCCCUUUCCAAUUCUGUGAUUUUUCUCAUCCUAUUAAGUCACGAUUUCAACUGCGACUUUAGUAAGGGAAAAGGCUAUGGCAUGUUUAUUUAAGGUUUUACAUACUUUUGUAUGCGGUUCUUUUGCUACUGGUGAUAACAACAGUAAACAAUGACGUGUGUGUAUAUAAAUACACACAAACACACCCUUCUUGUAGUGUUGUAACUACAAGUUCUAGAGCAGGAGUGCAAAUCUAAAUACAAAAAGCAAGGGAUGGAAACAAUGCCAACCUUUCUAUCUCAAAUAUCUAUAUAUGUAUAUCUAUAUAAAAUUUGCAAUAAAAGGAGCUAUUCUAAAGGAUGGAGAAUAAUACAAAGAGGCAAGCCUACCUAGGAAGUUGUCCAUUAAAAUCUUGCUCAGGUCAAAAAAAUGCUGCUGGGAAAAUGCAUCCAAAGCCUUUCAGGUGAGUCAGGUGAGCAAACCUGGCUCACCUGGGCAACAGGUAGGAAGGGGAAAGCAGGGAAUACUGUAUAUACUCGAGUAUAAGCCUAGUUUUUCAGCCCUUUUUUAAGACUAAAAAAGCCCCCCUCGGCUUAUACUUGGGUGAGAGUCCUGGUUGGCUUAUAUUUGGGUCAGCUUAUACUCGAGAAUAUAUGGUACAUUUUUCUCUAUUAUUAUCUAUAUAUAUAAAAGAGUGAUGGCAUCACGGCAAUUCACAAAACAACAAAAAGUAC
rnacentral:lncRNA from 11 species